GGUUUAUAUACAGAAUGAGCUCGCUUUUACAACUUCUUUCAGAAGAUUCUAACUAACUUCUAUCUAAUUUAUUACAACUGAAAACUCACUUCUAUCCCUGCUUUACUCUGUUUUUCAGGUCUGUUGAAGAGGAACUCGAAGGUGGGAAUCAUACCCUUGGCUGACCAUUCUUUCAGUUUCUUUAUACGCACCCUUUCAUUUAAAUUCCACAAUUCUUCUUCUGCUCGUAUACACUGCGUUUCAUUUAAUAAACAAUUUAUCAGCCCCCCCUCAAGAUGGAGACGAGGUGAGACUACGAAGUCCCAUCUUGGAUAAAAGAGUUUGAAAGUUUGUAGUGCCAAGUGGCUUGGUGAAUAAGUCAGCAAGCUGUUGUUUGGAAGGAACAUGGAUUGUAGAGAUGAAACCCUGCAAAAGUUGAUUGCGGACAACAUGACAAUCGAUGUCCAAAUGCUUGGUGCGCUCGUGGAACACCGGAUUAGCAGCUAUAUGUUGCGUCGCCUUGUUAUCACAGUGGAGAGCAAUAGGCAACUGAACUGGGAUUUGAAGAUCUUUAAGCAGGUACGUGAUCCAUUGUAACUCACAUACAGUCGAAGCCAUGCUUCGAUAUUCAGCUUCUGCAAAGGAGCGACUUACUGUUGAUUGCUUCUUGGCCUUCCAGGAGAUAAGAGAAGGACCAAGAAAUAUGCAAAAACCUGUAAUUUAUUUGCGGGACAUGGGGCAGCCUGCCCAAUCUGCGUCACAUAAUGCAAAAAUUUUGAAAUCAUUUGUGGCAGGGAAAAAUAUCCCUUUGUUUGGACAACCUUUAAGGUAUCUUAAAACAUGGAUUGCAGCAUCCCAGUGUGUGUUGCGAGGGUUCUGCAUAAAUUGACUUAAAUGUUGUGUAGCAGAGGUGAUAACUGGUCUAGUGAUGCCCAGAUAUAGUAAUCGACCUACAAGGCGUCUGUAUUUGUCAGGGUCUUUUAAUAGUUCUCCAGUUUCAUUAUCAAGCUUUGAUCCUUUGGGCAAUGGAAAUGAUUCAACUUUAGCAUCUGUCAAACCAGCAUCAUGUAAGAUGUCUAAAACAUACUUUCUCUGGUUAAGGAACAUCCCAGAAGUUGACCUUGUCACUUCAAGCCCCAAAAAAUAUUUCACAUAGCCAAGAUCUUUAAUGGUAAACUAUUGAUCCAAAAAAUCUUUGACUGUAAUAAUGUUUUUUUUUCUUAAGAACCAGUAAUCAAAACAUCAUCAACAUACACUAGUAGAGCAAGAAAAUGACCACCUGAACCUUUAAUGAAAAGGCAGUUGUCAAAUACAGAUUGAGUAAACCCAAACAUCUUCAAUUUUUGAGUUAAUUCUUUGUUCCAUUGUCUACCAGCUUGAUUCAACCCAUAUAAACUUUUAACCAGUUUACAAACUUGCCCUUUGUGAGCCUUUGUACACCCUUCAGGAGGUAACAUAUAGAGAUCUUCAUCAAUAUGCCCAUGAAGAUAAGCAUUAUUGAUGUCAAGUUGGUGAAUUGGCCAACUGUGAGCUGAGGCAAUAGCUAAGAAUACCCUGACAGUUACCACCUUAGCGAUAGGAGAGAAACUCUCAUGGUAGUCAAUUCCAGGGAGCUGGUUAUGCCCUUUUGCCACCAAUCUUGCCUUGUAUCUAUCCAUUGUCCCAUCAGCCUUAUAUUUGAUUCUAAAGACCCAUUUUGAAGCAAUGGCUUUCUUCCCUUUAGGUAGGUCAGUUAGAAUCCAAGUAUGAUUUCUUUCUAAUGCAUCCAAUUCACUUUGCAUAGCUUGAACCCACUUACUCUCCUCCUUAGCUACUUGAUAGGACUUAGGCUCAUGGAAAGUAGAGACAUUAGCCACAAAGCACAUAUAGUCAUGACUAAAUAUAGGUGAGGAAGUAAAGUGAGGUAGGUUAGGGAAAGAAAGUAUACCUAUGUUUGCAUUUUCAUUGUGACUAAUGGUAGUUGUGGUAAGGGAGGAAGCAUGUGAUGUUGGAAAUUCAACAGAUGCAAUAAAAUCAUUUAGCCAUUAUGGCUUGGUAGUUGGUCUGUUACUUCUUCUAAGAAUAGGGUGAGGAGGAGAAGAUACUGGUGUAACAGGGUUAUUAGAUGACAUGGGGAAAACUUCAGGAGAAUUUGAACAAGAAGAAUCAAAUGGUUAAUUAGAAGGAGAGAAAGGGGCAGGAGAUGGAGAGAGAUGUGGUGGUGUAUGUACAGAUGAGAUAUCAGUAUGAGAUUGAGAAUUUGAGUUAUCAAAAACAACAGGAAGAGGAACUUGAUGAUGAACAUAGUUGUUAAUAUGUUCUUUGGCAAAUGGGAAAUGGUUUUCAUGAAAUACUACAUCCUGAGAAACAAAGAUGGUUUUAUUUUUUAAAUCAUAUAGUUUAAAUGCUUUGUAACCCGAAACAUAUCCUAGAAAGAUGCAUUUAAAAGCUCGUUGUUCAAAUUUUGUUUUCUGAGGUUUAAUAUUUGUAGCAAAGCAUGGAUAGCCAAAAACCUUGAGGGAUUUGUAAUCUGGUUUAGUGUCAUACAAAAUCUCAUGCGGAGUCUUCCAUUUUAAUACUGAAGUAGGUAAUUUGUUAAUAAUGUAGGUUGCUGUCAAAAUGGACUCUCCCCAAAACAUCUUUGGAAGUUAUGCAUGAAAUAUUAAUGCUCUAGCUACUUGAAGUAAAUGCUUAUGCUUUCUCUCCACAACUCAAUUUUGCUGUGGGGAGUAAGAACAAGCUUUUUGAUGCAGGAUUCCUUUCUGUUUUAAAAAAUUAGUACAUGAUUGAUUUACAAAUUCAGUGUCAUUAUCUGACCUAAUGACCUUGAUAAGUUUUUGAAAUUGGUUUGAGACCAUGGCUAUAAAAUCAACUAAUACAUGAUAAACUUUUGUUUUGUCUGAUAAUAGGUAAGUCCAUGUUUCUCUGAAAAAAUCAUCUACUAUUGUCAGAACAUAUUUAGCACCAGAAAUAGAAUAAACUGAGCAAGGGUCCCAAAGAUCAACAUGUGUCAAUUCAAAUAUUGAAAGAGUAGAAAUCUUACUUUUUUGAAAAAGAUAUUCUUUGCUUUUUUGCAAGAGGACAUAUGUCACAAACAUAUUGAUAAUCAGAAUUGUAAGAAUGCAGUUCUUCAAUAUGUGACAUUUUAAUUCUAGAAGUAUGGCCAAGCCUAUGAUGCUACAGUGUGUACAAGCUAAGAUUGUUUACAGAGUUUGACAUAUGACUGAAUUGGUUAUUUUUAUUAUAGAAUGACACAGAACUAGGGGCUUCUUUAUUCUUAGCUAAGCUAAAAGACAUUGCAUCUAAUUUGUAGAGUCCCUCAUGCAAUCUCCCAACUGCCACAACCUCCUUAGUCACUUGGUCUUGCAAAACACAAGUUUCAGAAGAAAAAUUUGCUACAAUGUUGGAUGUUUGGGUAAGUUUGCUAAUAGACAAAAGGUUAUAUUUGAAAGUUGGUACAUGUAACACAUUUUGUAAUUUCAAUUUAGGGUGUAAAGUUACUGUCCCAAUGUGAGUGACAGGUGUGUGAUUUCUAUUUGGUAAAUCUACUUUACUUUGGGAUUUUAAAGGAGUUAAUUUGGUGAAUGAGUGUAUGUCAUGACACAUGUGAGUUGUUGCUCCUGUGUCUACAACCCAUAUUCCUUUAUCACUAGUAGAGCAAUUAAAGGAGUAGUAAGUUGAAUUCUUACCUGCAAAGUCAGUAAGUCAGUAAAGCUUACACAGCUUGCAGCAUUGCUUGAUGGAGCAGCAUUGUUUUGAUUCCUCAUGAACCUUUCAAUUUCUUGCUGUAUUAUAUUGUAUAAGUCCAUGUUCAUGUUUUCCCUUCCUCUUUGUGUUACCUCAUUGCUAGCAUCAAGAGGAGUUUUUGGUAUUUGGGUUACUAUAUUCACCCUUUCUUUGCCUUUCUUAGUCUUAUAGUCAGUCCACCAAUCUUUGCCUUUCUUUGCUUCAUGACCUGUUGCAUUACAGUAGUUACAUGUCCUAUUUUCCUUCCCAGCAUCUUUCUUUUUGGAUUGAAACUUAUUUCCCCCUACAUCUUUGGAUGCUUUAACAAUCAUAGCAGUAUUAAAAUUCUCAUUUACACUAUUGUGAAUCUCCCCUUUUCUUUCAAUUCUAACAGCCAUGGAGUAAGCCUUAUUAACCUCCGGAAGAGGUUCUGUCAGUAAGAUUUGAUUCUUAACAUGGUCAUACUGAUCAUUUAAUCCCAUCAAAAAUUGAAUUAGCCUAUCAUCAUUCUCAAUAUCAGAGAAAGUUUUAGAUGCUCCACAUGAACAUGUAGGUAAAGGCCUCAGACACACUAAUUCAUCCCAUAGUUUCUUCAUCUUUGUAAAGUAAACCAUUAAAGACAUUAUUUUGAGAAAAAUUAAUUAUCUCCUUUUUGAGUUGAUAGAGUAAUGGGCCAUUGCAUUCUCAGAACCUUUGCUUGAUCUCCUCCCAUAAAUUCUUGGCAGAAGUUGUAUAAAGAAGAGCCUCCAUAAGAUCCUUAGACAUAGCAUUGAGAAUCUACGAAAUUACCAUACUGUCAAUUCUCUGCCAUUUCUCAAACAAUUCAGAUUUGGCAUCAGGUGGUUCACAUCUACCAUCAAUAAAUCCCAGCUUAUCCUUUGCCUGGAGUGCUAUCAUCAUAGAUCGACUCCAUGACAGGUAGUAACCUCCAGUGAGUGGUGCACUCACCAAGAUCAUACUAGGAUAAUCAGAAUUUUGGAGAUUAAUCAUUGUAUCUCCAUUUUUGGUACUUUCUUCAGAACUCAUAGAUUGGAUACUAGCAUCAAUCAUUUUGAGAAAACAAUUUAAACAAGAAUAACAAGUAAUAAAGAAUCAGAUCUGAAACCCUAGUUUCUUGAGUUUCCAGAUCUGGAUAGCAAAUCUCAAGAAAGACGGUUAUUGUAGGUGCUCUGAUACCAUGAUAAAAAAUGUGUGAUAACAAGAAUAGAAGAAAAUCGUAUGUAUUUCAUUGAGUAAAACUGGGUUUAUAUACAGAAUGAGCUAGCUUUUACAACUUCUUCCAGAAGAUUCUAACUAACUUCUACCCAAUUUG
rnacentral:misc_RNA from 1 species